UACGGGGGGGGCAAGCGUUGUUCGGAAUUACUGGGCGUAAAGAGCGUGUAGGCGGCCACGCAGGUCCGUUGUGAAAACUGGAGGCUCAACCUCCAGACGUCGACGGAAACCGUAUGGCUAGAGUCCGGAAGAGGAGAGUGGAAUUCCUGGUGUAGCGGUGAAAUGCGCAGAUAUCAGGAAGAACACCGAUGGCGAAGGCAGGUCUCUGGGCAUUAACUGACGCUGAGGAGCGAAAGCAUGGGGAGCGAACAGG
rnacentral:rRNA from 1 species